ensembl:lncRNA
UUGAGACACAGGCAAGCUGACACCAGAACCCCUGUUUCUUUCAUUCAACCACACGGCCUCAGGACUAUAGCUGUAUGUGCAUCACAUAAGUGGCUCAGAUCAAAACAUGUGUACUGGAUCAGAGUUUAGUUUAUUUAACAAAUAUAUGCACUGACAUCCAUCCUAAUAUAGUUUUGCAAUGAAGAAAUCAUCCGAAUUGCAAUACAUCUCAGAAAUGCAGUCCAUGCAGAAAUGCAGCAAAUGAUUGAAGAUUACAUAUCUGCUGGGAGUUCAGCAGAAGGAUGACGACUGAAAAGCUUCUCAUGGAGCGAUUGAGGAUUCACCAGACAAGAAUACUGGAGUGAGUUGCCAUGCCUUCAUCCUGGCGAUCUUCCUGACCUAGGGAUGGACUCUGCGUCUCUUACGUCUCCUGCACUGCAGGCGAGUUCUUUAUCACCAGUGCUACAUAGGAAGUCCUUUCAUCAUUAUAUGAAGACAUUAUCUGAUUUGUUCACUCUCAUUCUCUCACGAGUAUACAGCGGAGUUUUCCAAAGGCUGCAUGAUAUGUGAUGUCAUUCCUUUGAGGUUAAUGAAAUAUGUACUUCUAUAUCCUGUGUUUUAAAACUUUUUCAAUCUUAAUUUCUAAUAUGGUAAUUAUUGGUAGAUUUAACCCACCCAAACAAAAUCUCUUUGGAGUCAUGAAUAGUUUUUAAGAGUUUUAAGUAGUACUAGACCAAAAGGUUUUAGGAUUUAUGUCCUAUUUAACCAAAGUUUUAAAAUGUGCAUCAGUUAAUAUAAAUGAUGAAGUUGCUACCAAACCUCAAAGAAAUUGCAAACCUGAUUAAAACAUUCAGAUUCCUUUUUUGGUAUCUUCUGAUAAAUCCUUCAGAUAGAAAUUAGUACAAAACAAGUUAAAAAUUUUUGACUCAUUGAAUGUCUCCUGUAUUAACAAUACUAUAUAAGCUACUGUAAAUGAGGUACAAAUAUGUUCUGACUUGAGCAGCUUAUUGUCAUUUAGGGAAAAUAAAAAUAAUUGUAACAAGUGAAUAUCUAACUUUGGAAUGUUUCCAUUAUUUUUUUUAGAACUUAAUCUAAAGCAAAGAUGUGUGAGAGGUAAACAGUCUAAUCACAGUGGGCUCAAAAGAGGUAGAACCACAGCUCUACUUUGAAGGAUGAAUGAGAUUUGAAUGGGGAAAAAAAUGGCUCCCAAAUCAAAUUCAUUCCUGAAACCUACUGCAGAUAGAAUUUCAGGGGGUUUUUGUUUUCACUCCUUAUCUUUCUGUAUUUUUUUUUUAAGGACGCGAUUUUACUAAGCAGCA